GUAGUAUUCCCUCCGUCCCAAAAUUCGUGUCUUACAUUUGUUUAGAUACGGAUGUAUCUAACACUAAAAUGUAACUAGAUACAUCCGUAUUUAGACAAAUUUAAGGCAAGAAUUUUGGGACGGAGGGAGUACAAA
rnacentral:pre_miRNA from 1 species